GAGUGGUCCAUGUUAUGGCCUUUCUAACCCUUUCUUUCAUCGUCUUCCUCUCAACAAAGACAUUCUUGUAAAUGUCUUCUUUCAAAGCGAGCUAGAGGUCCUAGCCAUGCUUUUCCACAGCUUUCUUGAACUUUCUUCCUCUUUUUUCAUUCAUCUUCUCAAUCAUUUCUAUGCAAAGUAAAAACCCUUUGGAAGUUCAUGAAAGCUGUGGGAGAACAUGGCAUUUCUAGGCCCUAAAUAUCCCCCAACUCUCUAUUCAUCACCCUUUAUGGUCACCCUAAUUUUCUUGUUCUCUACUUUCAGGUUUUCUCGAGCUAGGCGGAGAUUAACCCUCGAGUGCAAAACUAGAACGGGAGCUUGGCUGCAAGACCCACCUGUGAAAUCCCACAUCGAGAUGUUGGAGAGAAGAACAUAGCAUUUCUUAUAAAAUUGUGAGGUUAACAGCGAUACGCAACAGGCCAGGGCUUGGGCCGUUACAAAUGGUGUCACUGGGUGGUGUGGUAGCGAGAAUGCUGAGUCCCUAAAUGGUGGAUUGUGAGGUCCCACAUUGGUUAAAGAGGAGAACGAAAUAUUCUUUAUAAGAGUGUGGAAACCUCUUACUAAUAGCCAAAGUGGACAAUAUCUAUUAGCAGUAAUCUUGAGCUGUUACACACUCUGUGGAAGGGUCAUCACUAAUUCUCUUAUUAUCUACUUUCUUUAGAACGUAUUGUUGCAUGGUUGCUCAAAGCUUCAAAGAACUAAAAAACCCGAGAAGCCAUUCGAACCGAAUCGAACUAAACCUAAGCGGGUCGAGAGAGAGAGAUUCCUUUUUACCAUCAAUGAUAGAUGUUCAUUUUGCAUCUCCUACAUUUCUGUGAAAAACGUUAAAUAUUUGUCA